UACAGAGGGUGCUAGCGUUGUUCGGAAUCAUUGGGCGUAAAGGGCGUGUAGGCGGUCCGGUAAGUCGGCUGUGAAAGUCCAGGGCUCAACCCUGGGAUGCCGGUCGAUACUGCCGGACUAGAGUUCGGAAGAGGCGAGUGGAAUUCCCGGUGUAGCGGUGAAAUGCGCAGAUAUCGGGAGGAACACCAAUGGCGAAGGCAGCUCGCUGGGACGUUACUGACGCUGAGACGCGAAAGCGUGGGGAGCAAACAGG
rnacentral:rRNA from 1 species